rnacentral:rRNA from 1 species
GAUGAACGCUGGCGGCGUGCCUAAUACAUGCAAGUCGAGCGAACAGACGAGGAGCUUGCUCCUCUGACGUUAGCGGCGGACGGGUGAGUAACACGUGGAUAACCUACCUAUAAGACUGGGAUAACUUCGGGAAACCGGAGCUAAUACCGGAUAAUAUAUUGAACCGCAUGGUUCAAUAGUGAAAGACGGUUUUGCUGUCACUUAUAGAUGGAUCCGCGCCGCAUUAGCUAGUUGGUAAGGUAACAGCUUACCAAGGCAACGAUGCGUAGCCGACCUGAGAGGGUGAUCGGCCAAACUGGAACUGAGACACGGUCCAGACUCCUACGGGAGGCAGCAGUAGGGAAUCUUCCGCAAUGGGCGAAAGCCUGACGGAGCAACGCCGCGUGAGUGAUGAAGGUCUUCGGAUCGUAAAACUCUGUUAUUAGGGAAGAACAAAUGUGUAAGUAACUAUGCACGUCUUGACGGUACCUAAUCAGAAAGCCACGGCUAACUACGUG